UGGGGUGUAGCCAAGCGGUAAGGCAGCGGCCUUUGGAGCCGCCAUUCGGAGGUUCGAAUCCUCCCACCCCAGCCA
rnacentral:tRNA from 1 species